GAAGAACUUUCAAGAACACAAAAAUUAGAGCAAAACAAAAGAGGGGCAUUCGGCUACAAGAAAGAAAAAAAAAAUUGUUGCCCACAAAUCUUUGAUGCAAAAACUAAAUUCUUCUUGAAUUUCCACUAAGUUGGAAACCCUCUUCAAGGUGAUACAAAUUUGGAAGCAAAAGAGUAUUUUUUUUUUUACAAAGUGAAGAAUUUGGAAAAGAUAUUGGAGAGCCCGAGACCUGAGUCGGGAUUCGUUUGGCGAGUGAUCGAGAUUUGGUAGUGAGCGAUCGAGGUACGGACGUUCAUUUUGGUGAUUCCCAGUAUAGGAUACCUACUCUGCCACUUGGAUUACUCCUUUUGAUUCGGAGCUCAUACUUUUGGUACAUAUCUUCUGCUACACAUAUUCUGUAUAUAUAUGACUAUUUGGGUACGGCGGGGCCCUGUCCCGUCAUAUGCUUCUGUUAUGUUUUGUAGAGGCCUGUAGUCAUAUAUGUGGGUCAUGGGUCAUGUUUGUUCGUUUGUGAUUAUGAUUUCGUCUUAGUGCGGCCCCGUUUACUAUUAUGGCCAAAACGACCCAUUUGUCUAUAUAUGUGUGUAUAUCUGGCGAUGUGUAUUCCGCCAAUUUAUCGGAUUUGGAUAUGAUGUUUUUGUACGGGCGACUGCUUAAGAUGAUACUUGUUUUCAGCAUUUGCUUAAAUGACGUAGGUUCAGUUUGAAUAAAAUUUUGAUAUGUCGAUCUGGUA